rnacentral:tRNA from 1 species
GCUUUGAUAGUUUAAACCAAAACACUGGUCUUGUAAAUCAGAAAUGAAGAUGGUCUUCUCAAAUCA